GACGAACGCUGGCGGCGUGCUUAACACAUGCAAGUCGAACGGAAAGGCCCUGCUUUUGUUGGGUGCUCGAGUGGCGAACGGGUGAGUAACACGUGAGUAACCUGCCCUUGACUUUGGGAUAACUUCAGGAAACUGGGGCUAAUACCGGAUAGGAGCUCCUGCUGCAUGGUGGGGGUUGGAAAGUUUCGGCGGUUGGGGAUGGACUCGCGGCUUAUCAGCUUGUUGGUGGAGUAGUGGCUUACCAAGGCUUUGACGGGUAGCCGGCCUGAGAGGGUGACCGGCGACAUUGGGACUGAGAUACGGACCAGACUCCAACGGGAGGCAGCAGUGGGGAAUAUUGCACAAUGGGCGGAAGCCAGAUGCAGAAACGCCGCGUGCGGGAUGACGGGCUUCGGGUGGUAAACCGCUUUCGCAUGUGACGAAGCGUGAGUGACGGUAAUGGGUAAAGAAGCACCGGCUAACUACGUG
rnacentral:rRNA from 1 species